GGAGCAUGUAUACAGGUGGUGCAUGGUUGUCGUCAGCUCGUGUCGUGAGAUGUUGGGUUAAGUCCCGCAACGAGCGCAACCCCUGUUCUUAGUUGCCAGCACGUUAAGGUGGGAACUCUAAGAAGACUGCCGGUGAUAAAUCGGAGGAAGGUGGGGACGACGUCAAAUCAUCAUGCCCUUUAUGUCCUGGGCUACACACGUACUACAAUGGCUAUAACAAAGGGAAGCGAGACCGCGAGGUGGAGCAAAACCCAAAAAAGUAGUCUCAGUUCGGAUUGGAGGCUGAAAUUCGCCUCCAUGAAGCCGGAAUUGCUAGUAAUGGCAGGUCAGCAUACUGCCGUGAAUACGUUCCCGGGCCUUGUACACACCGCCCGUCACACCAUGAGAGUUGGGAAUACCCGAAGCCUGUGAGCUAACUUUUUAAGAGGCAGCAGUCGAAGGUAGAAUCAAUGAUUGGGGUGAAGUCGUAACAAGGUAGCCGUAUCGGAAGGUGCGGCUGGAUCACCUCCUU
rnacentral:rRNA from 1 species